rnacentral:rRNA from 1 species
AGAUUGAACGCUAGCGGGAUGCUUUACACAUGCAAGUCGAACGGCAGCGCGGACUUCGGUCUGGCGGCGAGUGGCGAACGGGUGAGUAAUAUAUCGGAACGUGCCCAGUAGCGGGGGAUAACUACGCGAAAGCGUGGCUAAUACCGCAUACGCCCUACGGGGGAAAGGGGGGGAUCGCAAGACCUCUCACUAUUGGAGCGGCCGAUAUCAGAUUAGCUAGUUGGUGAGGUAAUGGCUCACCAAGGCGACGAUCAGUAGCUGGUCUGAGAGGAUGACCAGCCACAGUUGGGACUGAGACACGGCCCAAACUCCACGGGAGCAGCAGUGGGAAUCGUGCGCAAGUGGGACGAAAGCCUGACGACACGCCAGUCGCCGCG